ensembl:lncRNA
GUACUGGCUAGGCAGAGAAACCAUCUGCAUAAUAAAAGAUUAGGUGGGGGUAGCCAGAAAUUUAUACCCUAUGCAAAUGGCAUGCCUAAUCUUAACUAGUUUUUUUGUGCAUUAUGCAAAGGGCACAACUGGUCUAACCAAUUUUUUUGUGCUCUAUAUAAAUCAGACACCACCUUCUCAAGCUCAUCAAUAAAAACCUUCACCGCAGGACUGGCAACCUGUUUCUCUGGGACCCCUCUCUGCUGGAGAUAGCUCUUCUCUUUCUUUCACCUCUUAAACUUUCACUGCUGAUCUCACUCUCCGAUACAACGAUAUCCUCAUUAGAAAAAGACACACAGACAAAGGGAUGACCAUUUAAGACACAAUGAGAAGGCAACCCACUGCAAGCCAUGGAAGAAAGCAAACCUGCUGACACUUUGAUCUUGAGCUUGAAUCCUCCAGAAUGUGACAUCAGUGAAUGGGCUGGUCUGGAUGGCUUCACUCAUAUUUCUGGUGCUUUGACAAGGAUGAUUAGAAGACUGGACUUAGUUGGGGCUGAAUCCUUCUUCUUCAACUUGGUGGACUGAUGGUGGGUAGACUUUUCAUCUUGAGGCUUGGGAAUCUAAAAGCAAAUAAGGCAGAACUGGUAUGCUAUUUUAUAAGUUAGCCUUGAACGUCACAUACUGUUGUUUCCAUUGUAUUCCACUGGUCAAAGCAGUUACAAUCACUCCCAAAUUAAAGGGGAUGUGACACAGAAUUCACAUAUCCAUGGGAUAUAUGUCAAGUUUUUCGUAGGUGUUAUAUUAAAGUGUAUUUCUUCUCCACCCCACCCCAGGAUCUAGUUGAUAUUCAGUGUUGGGGCCUGAUUAUAUGAACUCCAAAUGAAGAAAAAUCUUCCAUUUUUUUCAGAAAUAAGAACUCUAUGAAAAAACAACAUUAAAUUUUUCCUUGUGUACAACAGCUUGCAAAUUGACCCUUUUUAUGCCCAUUUAUUUCAAAAAAGUUACAUCUACUGCCUUCUGCUAUUUAUGACAGCGCUUGGAAACUGAGAAUCCAUUUCCUGAGACCAUGAGUCUGAGAGACUGGCUUCCCUAGAAAAAUAUAUCAACCAGUCCUUCAGAGAAUAUCUGAAAAGUCAGCUAGGAGCUUCCUGAACUAGUUAAGCAUUCUCCUGCUCAUAAAUGUCCAAUAUUAAUAGAGAUUAAUCAAGGACAGCAGACCCUGAGAAAAGACUGUUUCCAGGUGUGCAGAUGGUAUGCUGCCAAAGGCAAUCAAGGGAAUUAAUUAUGAGAAUGAUGAGCAGACUUAGACGGGAUCUGAGAUUGUGUGCACUGAUGGACACAUUGUUGUUAAAUACAAAUGAGGAAGAAAUAGGCUUCUUCUCUGGAAUACAGUAAGGGCUUCUGAAAAUGGGAACUAAGAAAUUUCCAUGCCAUAGCAAUUGGUUAAGAACCAAUAGUAUUUGUAGUGAACUUUUACCCUUUCAGCUCCAACAAUGUUAUUUGCAGCCCCAAUAUGAAAGAUACAUUUUUAGAUACACUGAUUAUUAUACAACCUGGAUUUGAUGGGAAAACUAUAUGCAGUAAGUUACUCAAUUAACCUAGACGCAGGCAAAUGGCCAAUUUCCAGGUGUGCUGAAAAUGUAAUAUAAAAGAUUGCUUUUUGGCAAGUCAUUACAUUAAAGCAAAAGCAUUAGCAAUAAAAAUCUUUACAGUGAAAAAUGUAGUAAGCUCUAGCUGAUAGAAGACUUACUUCAAGAAUUAAUUUAUACGAUUAAGUGCUAGUGCAAAAAUGUUUUAGCUGUCCCUUGAAAAAUUUUUUCUUUGUUUGUCAAAUACUUAUUGAAUGUUUAUGUGUGAGGCCCUGUUAUAGGAUUCAGGAAUAUAACUUUGUGUAGAUCAGACAAAAUUUUCUCUUUCAGAGGUACAUUGUAAUGAGAAGAGACAUAGUAAACAAAUAAACACAUGAUGUAUUAGGUGGUAAUAAGUACUGUGGAGGACAAUGAAGGCGAAUAAUAAAAGGAGGAUUGUUUGGAAGAAUGUGAGCCUGUGUGUGUGAAGCUUUAGAUACACUUGUCUCCUAAAGGUUUUCUAAUGUGACAUUGGAGUAGACCUAAUUCUGAAAGAAGAAAGGAAAAGAGAUUUCAUGAUAUGUGAAAUGUUCCAGGCUAAGGAAUUAGCAAGUACAUAUUCCCUAAAAUAGAAACACAUUCAAUGCAUUCAGGCAACAUCUGGAGAACAGAGUAAGGGGGUGAGCUGUAUUCUCUGUCAGAUAGGGGGCCAUUCAUUCCAUGGUAGUCAUGUGCUUUUCACAGGAAUUCUAAGCAAUUGCAGUCUGAUAGCAAUAACACUCUUUAAAGAUUAAACAUAUAUUUUAUGUAAGUUGUGAUUAUUUUCUGAUAAUUGAUUCAUCAAUAUUCACCUACCACAUAGCAUAUAGCACUAUACUAAGAGUUUUAAGAUUUUGUCUCUGUUCAUAAAGAACUCACAGUAUAAUUCCAAAGAUAACAUUUUUUAUUUGCUCCUUAUUUCUUCAAACCAGCAUCCCUUUUCUUUUCUAAAUGAUUCCCUUGGAAUCAUUUAGAAUGAUUGUGUGUGUGUGUGUGUGUGUGUGUGUGUGUUUUAAUGCCUGAAGGCUUUCCUUCUUUAUUUUCAUACACCUCUUGAUGCUCCUCCAAUUCUCCAUGGUUUGCAAAGGCUUGAGGAUCUGCCUUAGUUUUAUCAGAAUAGGAAAGUCCCCAGUGGGUUUUAUCAAGUACAACCUCCCCUGGUUUCCUCUCCUUCCAUCCUUCCAACACACAGUUAAUAUUAGUG